rnacentral:rRNA from 1 species
UACGUAGGGGGCAAGCGUUGUCCGGAUUUAUUGGGCGUAAAGAGCGUGUAGGCGGCUGGGUAGGUCCGUUGUGAAAACUCGAGCUCAACCUCGAGACGCCGAUGGAAACCCUCCAGCUAGAGUCCGGAAGAGGAGAGUGGAAUUCCUGGUGUAGCGGUGAAAUGCGCAGAUAUCAGGAAGAACACCCGUGGCUAAGGCGGCUCUCUAGUACGGUACUGACGCUGAGACGCGAAAAGCGUGGGGAGCGAACAGG